rnacentral:lncRNA from 1 species
UUCACUCCAGCAACCAUAAUUUACUUAAAUUUCUGCGCAACUGAAAACUACAAAGAAAGAAAGUGAAGACUAACACCAGGUAUAGACCGAUAUACUUUGGAGUGAUGCAGAGAGAAUGUGUGAGAGUUGAAGAGAGGUCCAAGGGCUUGAAUCCAAGUGAAGUCCCUGGUCCGACCAGUUGGCCUGUGGCCAAUGAAUCGAGCAUUGAUUUGAAUGUUUUGGUCAGAGACUAAGCUGAAAUGCUGAUUACUCUUUCCAUGGAA